rnacentral:misc_RNA from 1 species
UAUUGAGUGAAAAGACUUC